CAGAGGGUGCGAGCGUUGUUCGGAAUUACUGGGCGUAAAGCGCGCGCAGGCGGCCCUUUAAGUCCGUCGGUCAAAUGCCGGGGCUCAACCCCGUUGCAUGCCGCGGAUACUGGAGGGCUGGAGACACGUAGAGGCAAGCGGAAUUCCGGGUGUAGCGGUGGAAUGCGUAGAGAUCCGGAAGAACACCGGAGGCGGAGGCGGCUUGCUGGGCGUGAUCUGACGCUGAGGCGCGAAAGCGUGGGGAGCGAACAGGAUUAGAUACCCUGGUAGUCCACGCCGUAAACGAUGGGCACUAGACGCUGGUGGGAUCGACCCCUUCGGUGUCGCAGCUAACGCGAUAAGUGCCCCGCCUGGGGAGUACGGCCACAAGGCUG
rnacentral:rRNA from 1 species